rnacentral:rRNA from 1 species
AUACGGAGGGUGCAAGCGUUACUCGGAAUCACUGGGCGUAAAGCGCGCGCAGGCGGCUAUUUAAGUUGGAUGUGAAAGCCUAUGGCUCAACCAUAGAACUGCAUCCAAAACUAUUUAGCUAGAGUGUGAGAGAGGAAGAUGGAAUUAGUUGUGUAGGGGUAAAAUCCGUAGAGAUAACUAGGAAUACCAAAAGCGAAGGCAAUCUUCUGGAACACUACUGACGCUGAGGCGCGAAAGCGUGGGGAGCAAACAGGAGUAGAAACCCUAGUAGUCC